ensembl:lncRNA
CUGAGGGCAGACCAUGAGCACGCUGAGUGUGUGAAUAGGUGCAAGCAAUUUGUGAGCAAAUGAGGAACAAACUCUCACAUUCACUUGUAAAGUAUUCAGGCUCAAUGCUGUGGCCAAACGGAUCUAAAAACAUCGCAGGCUCUAAUAGAUGUAUGUUUCUGUGGUUUGGUUGUGUGAUUCACCGGAAAUGCUAUCUGUGGUAUUCUGAGAAGCAGUUCGGCAAAAUGAUACGUGAGUACAUCAAAGUUCACUUAGACAAGCAUCUUCUUUGGAGUCGGUCUUAUAGGAUUGUUCUUCAUCAUGGCUGGACGCCUGCUGUUUGUCACCCUCAUGUAUUCCUGUGCCAAUACUAAAACACAAGCUCGUCCUCAACUCAUAAUGAAUUCAGCGGUGAUCUCAGAGACGGAAACAGUCACAUUGGACUGUCGAGCUCCAUCAUAUCCUACUGUCCACCAGUGUUAUUUCACCAUUAUCGGAGCAAAACAUGCCAAAGGCUUCACUUGUGUGCAGACACUGACAGGAACUGAACUGUUGAGGAUGUCAGACCAGAGAGCACCUGCUGAGGUUAAAGUGGAUUGUUAUUACACUGUAAUGGUUGGAGACGUGAAUCAUCCAUCUGCACACAGUGUCACAUCAUCCAUCACAAUCCAAAAUGUUGUCAAGUCGAGCACGACGCAGACUAAGACGGCAUCUGCUGUGACCACAGCAGGUCUUUGUGCUUCCAGGCCUGUAACUACUGUAAAGCAAACAUCAGCAGAUCAAACCUUUGGACCAAGAAACUCUGGUAGUUUUAGUUCUCCUCCCCUCACAACAGACAAACCAACAUCAGAUGUUGUCGAGUCGAGCACGACGCAGACUAAGCCGGCAUCUACUGUGACCACAGCAGGUCUCAGUGCUUCCACGCCUGUAACUCGUAUAAAGCAAACAUCAGCAGAUCAAACCUUUGGACCAAGAAACUCUGGUAGUUUUAGUUCUCCUCCCCUCACAACAGACAAACCAACAUCAGAAAUGCAGAGAUGGAUGUUCAUGGUGAUUGCGAUUUGUUUGGGAGGUUUUUUCUCUAUUUCCUUACUGGGACUGGGCCUUCUGUGUAGCAAAAGAACAUUGGAAAUAAGUUCUUACAGGAGGUCACAAGCUGAUGUCACUGGUAAUAUGCACACGUAGUCAGACAUCAUCACUAUUAUUUAUAUGCAUAUUUAUAUUUUGGUCUUUCAGGGUAUUCGGGUGUGUUUUACUUGAUGUUGCAGUUGUCAUAAUAUUACAUUACAUGUCAUUUAGCUGACUCUUUUAUCCAAAGCGACUUACAUUGCAUUUUUAACCCAUGUUCUUCUAUAUUUUUAACCCAUCCCGGACAUUGGGAGUAGUGUGCAGCCGUAAAGGCGCCCGGGUGUCUUGCUUAGGAACACUUCUACAUUGGGACAUGGAGCAGCCAGGGUUCGAACCGCCUUGCGGUUCCCGGCACACCCUGUCUACUUCAUGCGCCACCGUCGCUAAUAUGAGAUAUCUUGAACAUGGAGAAUUGGUAAUAAAUAUAUAAUUUGUCAAGAUGGAUUACUUUUUUCAUUUAUUUAUGAAAUCCUCUCAAUUCCUCUUGCCUCCUAUUGAUUGGAGCUUUUAUUUCCAAAAUACCUUCCUGGCUUGUUUCAAAUUAUAUUAAAUUUAGGGGCGCACAACAGAUUCUUAUAAAGAUCAGGUGGAGCGUAUUGUUGGCUUUUUACAAAAAACCAACUUGACAAAAAGCAUCAUCUUUGUGUGCCGUUGUGUCACAUUUGCAGGUUCUGUGAAACUGGAGGAGCAAACACUUACACAUGAGAACCACGCCAUGUUCCAAAUAUACGCCAAUAUCCCCAACGAGCCACCUGCAUCAGCCAAACAGGACGCAGUGUAAAGCAACCUGAAGCCACAUUGAAACACAAGCAUUUUAUACUGUGUAGAGGAACGGUUGGGCGGACAGUCAAAACAUUUUUUUUUAAAUCAGUUUCUUUUACAUUUUUUAAACAUAAUAUUGUUUGUGAAAUUGCAAUGCAAAUUGUAACUGUAACAAACGACAGGUCUCAGCUGGCUUUAAGAUAAUGUUAGCACACUUCAUAUUUUGUUUUACAGGGAGAAAAGAUUUUAGAAUUUUGACAUAGAAAUACAAACAACUGAUGUUUCUUAUGUUUUGCAGUUAAGCUGCAAAAGUUGCAAUCGUCACCAUUAUUAUUUUGUGAAGUUGGAGGCUGUUGAUUAGCACCACAUUGUAGACAACUUCUUUCUCUUCAAAGUCAAAAUAGUAUAAGCUUGCUUCUUUAGUACUUGUAACACAAUGCCUGCUCAAUUAAACAAAUACAAAAAUAAGAUGACCGUGUGUUCUGGUUAUAUUUUCUUUUUCUGGGGGGCCGCUUCCCAGCUGGAAAUCGUGUACUUGCUAGCGAGAAUUAACUGGUAUCUAUUAGCAAUGCUGAAUACCGCCUAUAAUCAUCCUACCUUGCCUCAUGUCGGAAUGAUGAAUGACUACGAAACCUCGGCCAUGAACUCCCCAAAUACAG